rnacentral:lncRNA from 1 species
GCUUUUUGAAACCCUUUUACUGUUAUUGUGUGGUUUAAAUAAGGAGAGACGACUGACGAUGGAUUGAGUAGCAGAGAGCAAAGCAAGAAGUUGGGCAAUUUUGGGUAUGAAUACUUUCCUCUUUCUUUCUAUUCUUUCCUUUCUUGGUUUUUGCCUUUAUUGUUAACGUCCUUUUGCAAAGAGAGAUAAGGUCCCUUCUCUCCCCUCUCUCUCUCUCCUCACCUUGCCUUUAAUCUUCGAAUAAAAAUAAAAGAAGAAGACGAAAUUUAUUUUUGUAACUAUUGCAUCGGACACAGUUCUUUCACUGUCAUUAUAAACACAUUUCCCCACCUGUUUCAAUCAAGCAGCUUAUCAUCAAUUACUACUAAACUACUCCUACUAUUUCCUCCCAGCUCGAGUCUUUUACAUUUUUGCCCUAACAGAACUUUAUAUAUUGUUUAGAAAUAUUUGAUUUUUUUGCGCAAACAUGAAUUGUGACGUAGUGAUUGACCUCCUUCAUUGUUAAUCACUAAUCUCAAAUUCGAGUUUUGAAUAUGAAAUUAUUUUAGUUAAAAUGUCAUCUACUAAUGGAUUAUGUAGUAUGUGACUUAGAUUUAGUUCAUAUUCCAAUAUAUAUACAGGCAUCAAAUAUCAAAUUGAGAAACCAAAAUUUUUUUUCCUGCCCAUAAUUAGCGAGGGUAUAAAUGUUUAGUAAAACAGUAGUUUUGAACUCAUCUCUUUGGGUCUAAAUAUUAUACUCUUGGUCAAUUAUUUUGAGAAAAUGUGUAACACAUACGUAAUUAUUUUUGAGAAAAUGUGACACACAGACAUAAUAAUUUUGAGAAAUGUGAAUAGAACAUGGAAAGUUUGCAUUUUAUUAACUUUGUUGUGUGACUACAAAUUAGGUUGUGAUCAUACAAAUUUCAUGUGUCGAUUGGUAUUAACAUCUUUUCUUUUUUUUAAAAAAAGGACUUUGAUUAAAAAACAAUUUUUGAUGUGUUUGACUUUUAUAGAAAAAAACUUCUACUUGUUUGGUUUUUGGUUUUUGAAAGCGUUAAAUUGUAAAAUUAAUAAGGGAAAAUUGUAUAAAAUAGCAAACUAAUAACCUAAAUUAAAUUGAAUAGCUAGGGUUUGAUUUAAUUGUGCUCUAUAACAAACAUUGACAAAAAUUUGCCAGGCGUCUCUCUCCCAGAAGUCUCGCUCGCCACUCUCUCAUUCUCGCCUCUCUUGCUUUAUACACAGAAGUGUAUAAUUUCUGUUUCUGUUUUGUAUAAAGCGAGAGAAAAUUGUAUAUACACAUGCAAAAAUGUAUAUCUUCAUGUUAUACACUUAAUUAUAUAAUUUACAAACAUUUUACUUCAAAUAUUGCAGAGAAAAAGGCCAAAGAAUUAUACAAUUGCGAAUUAUACAAUUGCAGUGAAAUACAAUUUUUUCUAGUUUUAUACAACAGAAGUGUAUAUAUUGUGUUUCUGUUUUUGUAUAAAGCGGGAAAAACAUAUAUCUUCUUGCUAUACACUUAUAAUUAUGCAAU